rnacentral:rRNA from 1 species
AGAACGCAGCGAAAUGCGAUACGUAGUGUGAAUUGCAGAAUUCCGCGAAUCAUCGAGUUUUUGAACGCAACUUGCGCCCGAGGUUCGUCCGAGGGCAUUUCCGUUAGAGCGUCACC